GCUUUGUAGAGCUCAAUCAGGAACAUUCUCAGGGGCUGAAGACCUUAUUCCAUAGUUCAGCACCAUCAGUGUGAGUGACAUAAAAACCUUCCCUGAAUUCACUCCUAUGAUGUCUCCUAACUCCAGGAAAACCUUAUGGCAAAGAUAAAAAGUGUCCUUAACAGUGAAAAUGAAAGCUUAAGAAAGCAGCUAUUGUCUCUGAAGAUAGAGACCAACAAACAAAUCAGUGAAACAUAUUAUAGUUAUCUUCCAUUUGGCUUCAAGAAAUUGUCUGGUGCACAACUGCUUCACAUUUCACAAACCUUCACGCUCCUCUGUGAAAAGCUAACAGCUGCAGGAUUUGGUCAAAACAAGCAACCAGAGGACAAGACUGCGAGAGAGUUUGAGGGAAGAUAGCAAAACAAUUUCAGAAAAUCCUAUUACAGCAAAACAAAAGUUCUAUUUGUUUUGUUCUUAUGUUCUGUUUUAUGAAGCUGUACUGUCUGUAGCUAUCAGAUAAUCUUGCUGAACUUCAGUGUCCCUGCUAUUAAAUGUGUAAUAUAUAAGACCAUGAAUUUAUCUUUCCGUUUUCAGUAAAAAAGUAAUUGAAACAAAGCUGUUUUGCUGUCCCACUAGCCUGAUUCUGCAGGGAACAGGCACUUCAUCAUGUAGUUUUUGAAUAGUGGAUUGUGAUAACAAAAACAAAUACCAACAGACAGAUGAAAUAAAGGAACAGGCUUUUAUAUGAAUAAAAGCA
rnacentral:lncRNA from 1 species